rnacentral:ribozyme from 1 species
GUGGCUGCUGCUGCUGCUACUGCUGCCACGGGCAGGAUCUAAACCCAACACAUAAUUUCGAGUACCGAAAAAGAAAGCUACACUACGAAUCAAUGACUGUGUUCACACACACACACACAAAAUCGUUCCCCACAUACCUAAAAAAAGCUUCCUGCAUUCCAUUUAUUAGUAUACACGCACACAUACACAUACACACACACACACACAUACAC